rnacentral:rRNA from 1 species
GACGUAGGUGGCGAGCGUUACCCGGAUUCACUGGGCGUAAAGGGCGCGUAGGCGGUUUGGCAAGUCGCCUGUGAAAGCCCCCGGCUCAACUGGGGGAGGUCGGGCGAAACUGCUAGGCUGGAGGACGGCAGAGGAAGGUGGAACGACCGGAGUAGCGGUGAAAUGCGUAGAUACCGGUCGGUAUCCCGAUGGCGAAGGCAACCUUCUGGGUCGUUCCUGACGCUGAGGCGCGAAAGCGUGGGGAGCAAACCGG